rnacentral:rRNA from 1 species
AUUGAACGCUGGCGGCAUGCUUUACACAUGCAAGUCGAACGGUAACAGGGUGCUUGCACCGCUGACGAGUGGCAAACGGGUGAGUAAUGCGUCGGAACGUGCCGAGUAGUGGGGGAUAACGCAGCGAAAGUUGUGCUAAUACCGCAUACGUACUGAGGUAGAAAGUGGGGGACCUUCGGGCCUCACGCUAUUCGAGCGGCCGACGUCUGAUUAGCUAGUAGGUGAGGUAAAGGCUCACCUAGGCGACGAUCAGUAGCGGGUCUGAGAGGAUGAUCCGCCACACUGGGACUGAGACACGGCCCAGACUCCUACGGGAGGCAGCAGUGGGGAAUUUUGGACAAUGGGCGAAAGCCUGAUCCAGCCAUGCCGCGUGUCUGAAGAAGGCCUUCGGGUUGUAAAGGACUUUUGUCAGGGAGGAAAUCCCUAGUGCUAAUAACACUGGGGGAUGACAGUACCUGAAGAAUAAGCGCCGGCUAACUACGUGCCAGCCGCCGCAGUAA